rnacentral:rRNA from 1 species
GACGAACGCUGGCGGCGUGCUUAACACAUGCAAGUCGAACGGUAAGGCCCUUCGGGGUACACGAGUGGCGAACGGGUGAGUAACACGUGGGUGAUCUACCCUGCACUUCGGGAUAAGCCUGGGAAACUGGGUCUAAUACCGGAUAGGACUCCGGACUGCAUGGUCUGGGGUGGAAAGCUUUUGCGGUGUGGGAUGGGCCCGCGGCCUAUCAGCUUGUUGGUGGGGUGACGGCCUACCAAGGCGACGACGGGUAGCCGGCCUGAGAGGGUGACCGGCCACACUGGGACUGAGAUACGGCCCAGACUCCUACGGGAGGCAGCAGUGGGGAAUAUUGCACAAUGGGCGCAAGCCUGAUGCAGCGACGCCGCGUGAGGGAUGACGGCCUUCGGGUUGUAAACCUCUUUCAGCAUCGACGAAGCGAAAGUGACGGUAGGUGCAGAAGAAGGACCGGCCAACUACGUGCCAGCCGCCGCGGUAA